rnacentral:rRNA from 1 species
AGGAUGAACGCUGGCGGCGUGCUUAACACAUGCAAGUCGAACGUGAAGAGAUAGCAAUAUCUCGGAAAGUGGCGGACGGGUGAGUAACACGUGGGUGACCUGCCUCGGAGCGGGGGAUAACCAUGGGAAACUGUGGCUAAUACCGCAUGGUCCUAUAACUAUGGGAAUAGUAAUAGGUAAAGCUCUGGCACUCCGAGAGGGGCCUGCGUCCGAUUAGGUAGUUGGUGGGGUAAUGGCCUACCAAGCCGAUGAUCGGUAGCUGGUCUGAGAGGACGAUCAGCCACACGGGAACUGAGAUACGGUCCCGACUCCUACGGGGGGGCAGCAGUGAGGAAUAUUGGGCAAUGGGCGCAAGCCUGACCCAGCAACGCCGCGUGGAGGAUGAAGUCCUGGAUUGUAACUCUUUAUGGGAAGAGACAGGACGGUACCCCAAGAAUAAGUCACGGCUAACUACGUGCCAGCAGCCGC